CCCAGCACACCGUGUCGUCAUAAGGCGAAGAGCGCAUGCGCACCCCUCCCCCAAAACAUUCCCUGAGCGUCAAUCACUCAGUGAGCGGAAGAUGGUUUCAUUCAGCAGCGACCGGAAACAUUGCGGCUCCGCGGGUCGUGGAAAGGCUUUGAGGGACUAGGAGGCCAAUCACUUGCUGCAGACAGGCUCUGAUCUGUUUUUGAAGCCACAGUAAUAUUGUAGCUGGUUAUAAAAUGUACCUUGUACACAGUUAUCAUAAACUAACCAUCACUGAAUUGUGAUCAGA